UUUCCGUAGGUGAACCUGCGGAAGGAUCAUUACUGAGUUUUGAGUGAAGUUGUUCUGUUCUUUCGGGGCAAGUGAACGCGUCUCUCAAUCCAUCUUACACCUGUGCACCCAUCGGGGAAGAUUUGGAUCUAAGUUGGAUCACGACGGCGAUCUACAGUUUCCUCUUUAUACCAUAUAACACUUUUAGAAAGUCUUUUUUGCUUGAUGCAAACUGAAAUAAAUACAACUUUCAGCAACGGAUCUCUUGGCUCUC
rnacentral:misc_RNA from 1 species